rnacentral:rRNA from 1 species
UACGUAGGGGGCUAGCGUUGUCCGGAAUCAUUGGGCGUAGAGAGCGUGUAGGCGGCUCGGUAAGUCCGCUGUGAAAGUCCAGGGCUCAACCCUGGAAUGCCAGUGGAAACUGUCGAGCUAGAGUCCGGAAGAGGCGAGUGGAAUUCCUGGUGUAGCGGUGAAAUGCGCAGAUAUCAGGAGGAACACCAAUGGCGAAGGCAGCUCGCUGGGACGGUACUGACGCUGAGACGCGAAAGCGUGGGGAGCAAACAGG